AUGAGUUUCUUAUUGUGGAACUGCCGGGGGCUAGGGAACCCCGAGGUGGUUCGAGAGCUUCGCAGCAUUGUGAAGCUAGAAGGGCCCACUCUUCUCUUCAUCAUGGAAACAAAAAUAAAAGGGAAGAGAGUUGAGGACUUGCAGAGACACCUAGGCUUCAGCAGGUGUUUUGCAGUGGAUAGUGUAGGCCUAAGUGGAGGUAUUGGACUUUUU
rnacentral:rRNA from 1 species